rnacentral:sRNA from 1 species
CAAGAUUCUUCACUAUGUGGCUAUCAUUCUCAGAUACACUCCCUCCAAAUAAGCUGUCAUUUGAAAUCAUCGGCUUCCUUCUUCCCCUCGUAUGGAGUCUCAACAUGGUGUGGCAAAUCAAUAGCAAGAGUAGGGACACCGUUAGGAGGGUAGGUUCUCUUUUGCCGCCAUUGCAUAUGCCUUGUUGGUCCACCGAAAAGUGAAUCCAUACAUUCGAUUGGGAUACCUUUGGUUUCAGGGAUCCAGAUGAAGGUGAAGAUGCUACAUAUGCAUUGACAUGUCAGCAGGUGAACCACGACGAGACAGAUUCGCCGAUAGGGAACCAUUCCAAUUGCAUGGAAUGCCCAUGAUGAUGUGACAUACACAGUUGCUGCACAUACACCAGCGAAGAAGAUGAAGACUCCCCAGUCCAUCUUCGAUAACAUUUUGGGAAAUGCUUGAGUCGCAGCGAACUGGAGAUUCACGUCGUUAGCCCCAUAUAGCCCAAGAGCCUGCCAAAGAUCUUAAUCUCACAGGGAAGAUCUCAGCGGAUACGAUCCAAGGCAAUCCGUUACCACCGAAAGACCAGAAGAGAGCAUAGAGCAUGAUGAUCGCUGUGGCAGCAUUUCCGCCUUUUUUGGUCGAUUCGGAAAGGACUGUGGCAGUACCUGGAUGACCGACCUUGAUGUAAGCGCCCAAAUAGAUGAGACAUAGACCACAACAGGCUGCAGAGAGCAUCCAAGGAUUUCGACGACCGAAUCUGUCAAUACCGAACAUGAAGAAGAGAAUGGCACCGCUGGCCUUGAAAACACCGUAGAUACCGGUCCAAAGGGUAACGUCAGUAAGACCGAUGGCUUUGAAUAUACUAGGGGAAUAGUAGUCUAUACAAUUACGAACCGUCAGCUCAACGUCGAGGCUGAGAGAGAAAAGAUGGAAGGGAGAAGGAUCAUCAAGGUCGGGAAGAGUGAAUUAAAAUUAGGCUUACUGAUGGUGAUGGCUCCUGAGAAGUUUUGAAGGAACAUCAUACCCAGAACGAGGGCAAAACGAUGACGGAUUGAAGGGACCUUCAUUUCUCGAAUGCAGCCCACGAAAUAACCCUUGAUACCCUUUCCUUCCCCCCCAGCUACUUUGCUCUCCUCUUCAAUUCGUGCGUGAAUCAUUCUAAGCUCUUCUUGAAUAUCUAUAAUCGGUCAUAGCGCCCGGUCAGUGGUCCACCGUAGGAAGUUGGCGGUGAAAUAACGGGCCAGAUGUCGCCUCGCUUCUAUCAUAUUACUCACACAAAUGAUCACCAGGUAGCAUUCUUAACCAUUCAAGGUUUGCAAUUGCCUCCGCUUCUCUGCCACGUUUGAUCAAAAGCAUAGGCGACUCUUUGAAGAACAUGCAGCCGAUUGCGAACAGUCCACCAGG